AGCGAACGCUGGCGGCAGGCCUAACACAUGCAAGUCGAACGAACCUUUCGGGGUUAGUGGCGGACGGGUGAGUAACACGUGGGAACGUGCCUUUAGGUUCGGAAUAACUCAGGGAAACUUGUGCUAAUACCGAAUGUGCCCUUCGGGGGAAAGAUUUAUCGCCUUUAGAGCGGCCCGCGUCUGAUUAGCUAGUUGGUUGAGGUAAUGGCUCACCAAGGCGACGAUCAGUAGCUGGUCUGAGAGGAUGAUCAGCCACAUUGGGACUGAGACACGGCCCAAACUCCUACGGGAGGCAGCAGUGGGGAAUCUUGCGCAAGGGGCGAAAGCCUGACGCAGCCAUGCCGCGUGAAUGAUGAAGGUCUUAGGAUUGUAAAAUUCUUUCACCGGGGACGAUAAUGACGGUACCCGGAGAAGAAGCCCCGGCGAACUUCGU
rnacentral:rRNA from 1 species